rnacentral:rRNA from 1 species
UACGGAGGGGGCUAGCGUUGUUCGGAAUCACUGGGCGUAAAGAGCACGUAGGCGGAUUAUUAAGUCGGGGGUGAAAGCCCGGGGCUCAACCCUGGAAUUGCCGUCGAUACUGGUAAUCUUGAGUCCGGGAGAGGUGAGUGGAAUUCCUAGUGUAGAGGUGAAAUGCGUAGAUAUCAGGAGGAACACCAGUGGCGAAGGCGGGUCGCUGGGCCGCUACUGACGCUGAGGAGCGAAAGCGUGGGGAGCGAACAGG